rnacentral:pre_miRNA from 7 species
GGCCGUCCUCCCCAACAAUAUCCUGGUGCUGAGUGGGUGCACAGUGACUCCAGCAUCAGUGAUUUUGUUGAAGAGGGCA